rnacentral:rRNA from 1 species
UUAUUUUUUAUUUUAAUGUUAUUUUUAUUAUAUUUUAUUUAUAAUGAAUAAAUUUUUUCUUAGUAUUGUUUUUUGAAGUGAUAUUUGUUUUUGAUAGUUUAUUUUUCUGUAAAGUUUUAUUUUAAUGUUUUGAAAAGUAGAGUUUGUUUCUUGUACCUUUUGUAUCAGGGUUUAUUAAUUAUCUAUAUUUAGUUUAAUAUUUUUCCCGAAACUAUGAGAGAUACAUAAUUUAAUAUAUAAUUGUUAUUUAUUGUAUUAUAACUAUUAAUAAAUUUUAUGUAGGAGUGAUAAAUUAUUCGUUCAUAGAUAUCUGGUUAUUUAAUAAAUGAAUUUAAUUCAGAAUUAGUUUUUAUUAAAGUAAGGUUAUAUUUAUUAUUUUUCUUAAUAAACUAAUUUAAUAUUAUAGGGGAUUAGCUCUUUAAUAUUUCUAUAAUUAAUUAUUCAUUGAAAAGUUUUAUAGGUUUAUAAACAUCCAUUAUUUAUUUCGUUAUAGUUAAAAUUUAAUUAAAUUUUUAUUUUGUAAUAAGUUUAGGUUUUUAUUAAAUUGUCUUGUUUAAUUAUAAUUGCAAGAGUAAUAAUGAUAAAAUUAGUAUUAAUGGAAUAUAUUAUUAUAGUAACUCGGCAAAAUUGGUGUCCACCUGUUUAACAAAAACAUGUCUUAUUGUAUAAUUUUUUUAGGUCGGGCCUGCUCAGUGAUUAAUAUAAUUAAAUAGCCGCAGUAUUUUGACUGUGCGAAGGUAGCAUAAUCAUUUGUCUUUUAAUUGUAGACUAGCAUGAAGGGUUUGAUGAGAUGCUAACUUUCUUAAUAUUAUUUUUAUGAAUUUAAUGUUUAAGUUAAAAGGCUUAAAUUUUUUCAUAGGACGAGAAGACCCUAUAGAGUUUUACUUUAAUUUUAAAUAAUUUAUUUUUGGUUUAUUGAUUAAAUAUAUUAUUGAUAUUAUUAGUUUUGUUGGGGUGACAGGGAAAUUUUAUUAACUUUCUUUAUUUAAUUAUUUAAUUGUGAUUAUUUAAAAGAUCCUUUUUUAAGGAUAUUAAGAUUAAAUUACCUUAGGGAUAACAGCGUAAUCUUUUUAGAGAGUUCUUAUCGAUAAAGGGGUUUGCGACCUCGAUGUUGGAUUAAAAUAAGUACUGGGUGUAGAAGUUCAGUUACUAGGUCUGUUCGACCUUUAAUGUUUUACAUGAUCUGAGUUCAGACCGGCGUGAGCCAGGUUGGUUUCUAUCCUUGAUUAAUAAAUUAACUUCUUUUAGUACGAAAGGACCAGUGAAGUUAUAUAUUAUGAUUUUAUAUGAUUAUUAUUAAUUAUUUUUAUU